UACGUAGGGUGCAAGCGUUGUCCGGAAUUAUUGGGCGUAAAGAGCUCGUAGGCGGUCUGUCGCGUCUGCUGUGAAAACCUGGGGCUUAACCCCGGGCCUGCAGUGGGUACGGGCAGACUAGAGUGUGGUAGGGGAGACUGGAAUUCCUGGUGUAGCGGUGAAAUGCGCAGAUAUCAGGAAGAACACCCGUGGCUAAGGCGGCUCUCUAGUACGGUACUGACGCUGAGACGCGAAAGCGUGGGGAGCGAACAGG
rnacentral:rRNA from 1 species